AAGUCGUAACAAGGUUUCCGUAGGUGAACCUGCGGAAGGAUCAUUAAUGAAUUUGGAGAAUUGAUGCUGGCCUGUCGAGGGCUACUGGGACUUCGUGUACUCUGUUGCGGUUCUGCCCAUCAGCGCUGUUUUACCAUUAUUAACCCUUUAAAUUCUGAACUGAACUCAAAAACUCUGCUGACGUCCUUGCUGGCUUCGGUCACGGACUAGCGCAGCGCGAGUUUAUAAAUUACGAAACAAAGAACAACUCUUAGCAACGGAUAUCUUGGUUCUC
rnacentral:misc_RNA from 1 species